rnacentral:rRNA from 1 species
GCGACCCCAGGNCAGGCGAGAGC